rnacentral:rRNA from 1 species
GACGAACGCUGGCGGCGUGCUUAACACAUGCAAGUCGAACGGAAAGGCCCUGCUUUUGUGGGGUGCUCGAGUGGCGAACGGGUGAGUAACACGUGAGUAACCUGCCCUUGACUUUGGGAUAACUUCAGGAAACUGGGGCUAAUACCGGAUAGGAGCUCCUGAUGCAUGGUGGGGGUUGGAAAGUUUCGGCGGUUGGGGAUGGACUCGCGGCUUAUCAGCUUGUUGGUGGGGUAGUGGCUUACCAAGGCUUUGACGGGUAGCCGGCCUGAGAGGGUGACCGGCGACAUUGGGACUGCGAUACGGCCCAGACUCCUACGGGAGGCAGCAGUGGGGAAUAUUGCACAAUGGGCGGAAGCCUGAUGCAGCAACGCCGCGUGCGGGAUGACGGCCUUCGGGUUGUAAACCGCUUUCGCCUGUGACGAAGCGUGAGUGACGGUAAUGGGUAAAGAAGCACCGGCUAACUACGUG